rfam:Eremococcus coleocola ACS-139-V-Col8 contig00017, whole genome shotgun sequence.
GCACCCUUAGCUCAAUUGGAUAGAGUGUUUGACUACGAAUCAAAAGGUUACAGGUUCGACUCCUGUAGGGUGUA